rnacentral:rRNA from 1 species
UGGGGAAUUUUGGACAAUGGGCGAAAGCCUGAUCCAGCAAUGCCGCGUGUGUGAAGAAGGCCUUCGGGUUGUAAAGCACUUUUGUCCGGAAAGAAAUCCUUGGCUCUAAUACAGUCGGGGGAUGACGGUACCGGAAGAAUAAGCACCGGCUAACUACGUGCCAGCAGCCGCGGUAAUACGUAGGGUGCAAGCGUUAAUCGGAAUUACUGGGCGUAAAGCGUGCGCAGGCGGUUUGCUAAGACCGAUGUGAAAUCCCCGGGCUCAACCUGGGAACUGCAUUGGUGACUGGCAGGCUAGAGUAUGGCAGAGGGGGGUAGAAUUCCACGUGUAGCAGUGAAAUGCGUAGAGAUGUGGAGGAAUACCGAUGGCGAAGGCAGCCCCCUGGGCCAAUACUGACGCUCAUGCACGAAAGCGUGGGGGAGCAAAACAGGAUUAGAUACCCCUGGUAGUCCACGCCCUAAACGAUGUCAACUAGUUGUUGGGGGAUUCAUUUCCUUAGUAACGUAGCUAACGCGUGAAGUUGACCGCCUGGGGAGUACGGUCGCAAGAUUAAAACUCAAAUGAAUUGACGGAGUCAUAGCUGUUUCCU